UACAGAGGGUGCGAGCGUUAAUCGGAAUUACUGGGCGUAAAGCGUGCGUAGACGGUCAUGUAAGUCGGGUGUGAAAUCCCCGGGCUCAACCUGGGAAUUGCAUUCGAGACUGCGUGGCUAGGGUGCGGAAGAGGGAAGCGGAAUUUCCGGUGUAGCGGUGAAAUGCGUAGAGAUCGGAAGGAACAUCAGUGGCGAAAGCGGCUUCCUGGUUCAGCACCGACGUUCAGGCACGAAAGAGUGGGGAGCAAACAGG
rnacentral:rRNA from 1 species